UACGAAGGGGGCUAGCGUUGUUCGGAAUCACUGGGCGUAAAGGGCGCGUAGGCGGCUCGGCACGUCCGUUGUGAAAUCGCCCGGCUCAACUGGGCGGGGUCGGCGGAUACGGCCGAGCUGGAGCAAGCUAGGGGGUAAUGGAAUUCCCGGUGUAGUGGUGGAAUGCGUAGAUAUCGGGAGGAACACCAGUGGCGAAGGCGGUUACCUGGAGCUUUGCUGACGCUGAUGCGCGAAAGCGUGGGGAGCGAUCCGG
rnacentral:rRNA from 1 species